rnacentral:rRNA from 1 species
GAUGAACGCUGACAGCAUGCUUAACACAUGCAAGUCAACUUGAACUUCGGUUUGGGUGGCGGACGGGUUACUAACGCGUAAAGAACUUGCCUCACAGCUAGGGACAACAUUUGGAAACGAAUGCUAAUACCUGAUAUUAUGAUUAUAUGGCAUCGUAUAAUUAUGAAAGCUAUAUGCGCUGUGAGAGAGCUUUGCGUCCCAUUAGCUAGUUGGAGAGGUAACAGCUCACCAAGGCGAUGAUGGGUAGCCGGCCUGAGAGGGUGAUCGGCCACCAGGAGAGGGAGACACGGCCGGUACAGCCUCGGGAGGCAGCAAGCAGGAAUAUAGGACAAAGGACCGAGAGUAUGAUCAAGCAAUUCUGUGUCGACGAUGAAGUAGUCCGGAAGGUAAAGUGGUUUCAGUUGGGAAGAAAAAAAUGACGGUACCAACAGAAGAAGCGACGGCUAAAUACGUG